ensembl:lncRNA
ACCAAAUCAGAUGUCUGAUCAAACAUGCUGCUAAAUGAGGGACACGCCUGGCUUGCACAGCAGUCUGCAGGCUCACCUUUCUGCAGAGCUCAAUUUAAGCUCGUGCCAUCAUGCGAGAAAGAUCAGCUGUGUCCUUGGAAAUGCAGACCCUGCGGUGGUUAGGAUUUUCCUCACAUUUCUUAAUUCUCUUGCUCUGGAUCCCAUCACAACCCUGUUUUGAAAGGCCAGAAAUGAAACUCUAGUUCAUUGAAGAAAAAAUUACUGUUGCCGUUGCUUUCAAGCAGGCCUGGAGUUCCACCAAAACGUUGCCAGACUCAUCCCACCCAUUGGGAAGAACAGAAAACGGAUUACAUUUCUGAAACAACAUUUUAAAAAACAUAAUUUCACGUCUAGACCAGAACCAGUCCAAAGAUGAACCAGGCUGGUUACUGGCAUAGUCACUUUUUGGUCAAUCAUCCCACUGAGGAACCUCCUGGAUGCAGUUACACUUGAGGUCCUUCCCAGAGGAACGCGGCUGGGUUGUAUGAUGAACAGGGAGGUGUGGAGGGAUGGAGAGAAAGAUAAAAUCCAUGAGGAUCUGGGCUGGAAAAUUCAACACUCAUACAGCUUGUUGCUGCUUCCAUGCAGCUCGAUGGAGCUUCAGAUGGGGCCGGUAAGCAUUAACAGGGCACCUGCCUGCAGUGAUGCCAGUUUGGGAGUUCCUGAGUUGCUGGAUCAUUAGACAGUGGAGAUCUCUUCCAGGGUGUAUCUGAUAUCAUUUCUCAUUGCAAAACUUGAAGUAAAACUGUCAGUUUUAGCUGCUUUCGUCACCUCUGAUAAUGUUUCAAGUCUGGGUCCCAGUUCUUCAAAGGUGCAAAGAAAAAAAGCUGUGCUGGACACCCAAUAAAAGCCAAUUUGUGCUAUCCACAGUUAGCUCGAGUUCAACUUCAUUGUUUAUUACUUAGGUCUCUGAAGGAUAAUGCGUACAAAAUAAAACAUUUCUACCACCUCAGCCUUUGUAAAAACAUUCACAACCUGUUAAACGUUAGGGUCACUAACUUCGAAAUGAUCUCACAAUUUGAUUUCAUUAUAUUUUAAUUGCUAAUGAUAUAUUCCAGGGCUGACAGAGAGUGAGAGGCUGUGACUAAGGGAAAAUUAAACCUCAGCUCGCUUUAAUUCUCCCACCAGCUGUAUUCAGGCAGGUGCAACACAAACUCCCAAACACCCUGCUGCAUAACACAGCCCUGACCUGGAGGGACCGAUCUGAACGGGCUUUUCAGCCGGCAUGCUUAUUCAAUUCGCUCUGCGGAAAGGCUGCCAACCGGGAGACGUGGUGCCAGAAGCGUGGUGGUUUUUUUAAUGCAAAGUUGCAAAACCACAAAACUCAUUUUUACUGGUGACCUUUUUACCACUAAUUGUCGGG